GACAAACUGGACAGUGGCCAUGUCGAAGAAGAGUUUCUCCCUUCUCCCCCCCCCUCAGAAAGCUGUAUGUCAAAGUUGAAUUGCAGUGGGGUUUGGGAGGAUUGCAGUUCACUGUAAAUAAGAGAGCUGAACAAUGAAGCCAUGUUCUAAUUGGCCAGAAAACAACUUAGAAAACUUCUUCUUGGUGACUUUAUUGAACAGUUCAAGAGCAAAAUUCAAUCUUCUGUGUUACUUUCACAAUUCUUCAGAGAACGACAUUUCUGUCUGUGUCUUCCUCACACUCACACAGAUGCGCACAGGGGACAAACACAUCAGGGGUCUGCAAAAACCACCUCCCUGGAAAUAUCUCCUCAUGCUCCCUGCCAUAAACCUGCAUACAAGAGGUGGACACAUUGCACAUACUUCAUUGAAAGGAUUCCCUUGGGAGAAGCUUGCUUCUGAGUGUCAGAGGAAAAAGUCACUCUCUUUCAACACGUGA
rnacentral:lncRNA from 1 species